UGUUCGCAACACGGUUACGAGCGAAGGUGGCCUGGGCGUCGUGAAAUAGUGCAGAAACAAGUAAAGCGUCGAGUGUAAUCUCGUGAAAGCAUCCUUGGGUCAAAAUGUGCACGCCUAUUCCUGUUACACGCUCAUUAAAGCAGAUCUCGAGGAACUUCCUUAAAAUAAUCGACUUCAAGAAUACCGUCGGACCUUUUCCUUCUUUUUUCAACGGAAAGGCGUCGAUACACGAGCGAAUGUGCGAUAUCUGGAGAAUCGAUCGAUCGAACGGACACAGACGUUCGAUAACGACAACGUUUGACGUGCUUCCACGGCUAUAGAAAGGUCUUUGGCGGAGGUUAUUGCAAGUGUGCGUUAAACAGGACGUUUAACCUUUCACAAGUAACGUCAACCCCAUUCAAUAAUAUUUCGUGCCAAACGAAAAUCAACAAAGAAUAAAAUCUGACGAACAACACCGCCAAUCGAGGCUUGAUAUUCUCUCUUUUUUGUUCGCGCGUGAACGUUUUUUCGAUAUCAAACACACAAGCAUUCGAAAAUUCGAUCGAAAAGCAAAGCAUGAAAAGCAGAGCGAAAAUAUUUUAUAGUUACACGUGAUCGAGGCCGAGUGCAACGAAUUUGACGCAUUCACCGACCUUUCUAUCAAAUUUCAUUCAUCGACGCAUCGCGAGCGCCGAUAAAAAUAAUUCUUUGAAAAAAAUGCUUCCGUGCUAUGGAAUUCGAUGGAUCCUCCAUCGGAGGAUAACGAGCGUGCGACGCUCUUUUUUUUUUUAUUUUCGCUACAAUUUAUCGGACAAAAGAUCCCGAACUCGUUAUAGAAAAUAGAAAGGGGAACGGCAAUUAUUGGAAUUUGUGAAAUUUCUUUCGAAUGAAAUUUGCGGAAUUUUAAUUGUCGACGAAUUAUUGCUGUUUAGUGAACAUGAAUGUGGACAUGAAAUUAGAUAUGGACAAAUUAAAAUACUAGGCGAUAAAAUUCGAACUGUUUUAUGCGAUAAAUGUUA